AAUCUUUCCAAAACUGGUCAGAGAAAUUAACGGCUCUGAUUAAUUUAAACUCAACAUAUAUAUAUAUAUUAAACAACCUCUUUCCUAUCAUUUCGUUGUAACCAGUAAUCACUUUUCUUCAUUUCAAAAGAGAGAAAAAAAAUGUGUGGAAUACUUGCUGUUUUUGGUUGCAUUGAUAAUUCUCAGGCUAAACGUUCAAGAAUCAUCGAACUUUCUAGAAGGUUGCGCCACAGAGGACCUGAUUGGAGUGGAUUGCAUACCCAUGAUGACUGUUAUCUUGCUCAUCAACGGUUGGCAAUAGUGGACCCAACUUCUGGAGAUCAGCCACUGUAUAAUGAGGACAAGACCAUUAUUGUUGCGGUUAACGGGGAGAUCUAUAACCAUAUGGAAUUACGGGAAAAACUGAAGUCCCAUCAAUUUCGAACUGGCAGUGACUGUGAAGUUAUUGCCCAUCUUUAUGAAGAAUAUGGAGAAAACUUCGUCGACAUGUUGGAUGGGAUGUUCUCUUUUGUUCUUCUUGACACCCGCGAUAAAAGUUACAUCGCUGCUCGGGAUGCCAUUGGCAUUACACCCCUUUAUAUGGGGUGGGGCCUUGAUGGGUCCAUAUGGUUUUCCUCAGAGAUGAAAGCCUUAAGUGAUGAUUGUGAGCGAUUUGUUAGCUUCCUUCCCGGUCAUAUUUAUUCAAGCAAAAAUGGAGGACUUCGAAGAUGGUACAACCCACCAUGGUUUUCGGAAACCAUUCCUUCUACUCCAUACGAUCACCUUGUCUUACGGAAGGCUUUUGAGAAGGCUGUAGUUAAGAGACUCAUGACGGAUGUACCAUUUGGUGUGCUUCUCUCAGGCGGACUGGAUUCUUCACUUGUUGCUGCAGUGGCUAACCGUUAUUUGGCUGAUACAGAAGCUGGUCGACAAUGGGGAUCACAGUUGCAUACGUUUUGUGUGGGCUUGAAGGGUUCUCCUGAUCUGAAAGCUGCCAGAGAGGUGGCAGACUACCUUGGAACUCGCCACCAUGAGUUUCACUUUACAGUGCAGGAAGGAAUUGAUGCACUAGAGGAAGUCAUAUAUCAUGUUGAAACAUAUGAUGUGACCACUAUCAGAGCCAGUACACCAAUGUUUCUCAUGUCUCGGAAGAUAAAGUCCUUGGGUGUGAAAAUGGUUUUAUCUGGUGAAGGUUCUGAUGAAAUUUUUGGUGGUUAUUUAUAUUUCCAUAAGGCACCCAACAAAGAGGAGUUUCACCAAGAAACUUGUAGAAAGAUUAAAGCACUUCAUCUUUAUGAUUGCUUGAGGGCCAAUAAAUCUACUUCUGCUUGGGGUGUUGAAGCUCGUGUACCUUUCUUGGAUAAAGAAUUUAUCAAUGUUGCAAUGGACAUCGAUCCAGAAUGGAAAAUGAUCAGACCUGAUCUUGGAAGAAUAGAAAAGUGGGUUGUACGCAAUGCUUUUGACGAUGAUCAGAAUCCUUAUCUGCCAAAGCAUAUUUUGUAUAGGCAGAAGGAACAGUUCAGUGAUGGAGUUGGCUACAGUUGGAUUGAUGGUUUGAAAGAUCACGCAAACAGUCUGGUUUCUGAUUCUAUGUUAGUGAACGCAAAUUUCGUUUACCCGCAUAACACACCCACAACAAAGGAAGGGUACUACUACAGAACUAUUUUUGAGCGAUAUUUCCCCAAGAAUGCUGCAAGGGAGACGGUUCCAGGUGGUCCAAGUGUGGCAUGCAGCACUGCAAAAGCAGUAGAAUGGGAUGCAGCUUGGUCCAAGAAUCUAGAUCCUUCUGGUCGAGCUGCUCUCGGUGUUCAUGCAGCUGCUUAUGAGGAUAAAGCUGCAGUAGCUGUUUGAUUGUAUAUCUUCAUUCACAGCUUGAAGUUCAUCCUGGUGUAACAUAUUCAAAAGAUGCUCUUUUUCACAGUUUACUUGAGAAGAAAUAUGCAUGACUUGUGAAAAA